UCGAGGAUCUUCGGCAAUGGGGGCAACCCUGACCGAGCGACGCCGCGUGGACGACGAAGGCCUUCGGGUUGUAAAGUCCAAAGGUACCAAGGAAGACUGACUGAGGUACAGUAAGCACGGGCUAAGUUCGUGCCAGCAGCCGCGGUAAGACGAACCGUGCAAACGUUGUUCGGAAUCACUGGGCUUAAAGGGCGCGUAGGCGGGUCGGCACGUAUGAGGGUGAAAGACCACAGCUCAACUGUGGCAGGG
rnacentral:rRNA from 1 species